AAUAGAUACCCCGGUAGUCCACGCCGUAAACGAUGAAUGCUAGGUGUUGGGGAGACUCAGUGCCGCAGUUAACACAAUAAGCAUUCCGCCUGGGGAGUACGGUCGCAAGACUGAAACUCAAAGGAAUUGACGGGGGCCCGCACAAGCAGCGGAGCAUGUGGUUUAAUUCGAAGCAACGCGAAGAACCUUACCAGGUCUUGACAUCCCCUGACGACCCUAGAGAUAGGGAGUUCCCUUCGGGGACAGGGAGACAGGUGGUGCAUGGUUGUCGUCAGCUCGUGUCGUGAGAUGUUGGGUUAAGUCCCGCAACGAGCGCAACCCUUGUAUUUAGUUGCCAUCAGGUAAAGCUGGGCACUCUAGAUAGACUGCCGUAGACAAUACGGAGGAAGGUGGGGAUGGACGUCAAAUCAUCAUGCCCCUUAUGACCUGGGCUACACACGUGCUACAAUGGCCUGAACAAAGGGAAGCGAGAUAGCAAUAUGGAGCAAAAUCCCAAAAAAGCAAGGUCUCAGUUCGGAUUGCAGG
rnacentral:rRNA from 1 species